GAUGAACGCUGGCGGCGUGCCUAACACAUGCAAGUCGAGCGAAAGGACGAGAAUUUUGCGUGGCUGAUGUUAGGGGCGGGGGGGUGAGUCACAUGUGUAUAACCUACCUAUAAGACUGGGAUCAUUAGGGGAAAGCGGAUCUUACACCCGAGGAGAUUUUGAACCGUGGGGGUCAUAGGUGAAAGUCGGUCUUGCUGGCACUAAUAGAGGGUUCCGAGCUGGAUGAGCUAGUUGGUAAGGAAACGGCUUACCAAGGCUAGGAUGCAUAGCCGACCUGAGAGGGUGAUCGGCCACACUGGAACUGAGACACGGUCCAGACUCCUACGGGAGGCAGCAGUAGGGAAUCUUCCGCAAAGGGCGAAAGCCUGACACAGCAACGCCGCGUGAGUGAUGAAGGUCUUCGGAUCGUAAAGCUCUGUUAUUGGGGAGGAACAGAUGUGUAAGUAACCGUGGCCAUCUUGACGGUACCUAAUCAAAAAGCACCGGCUAACUACGUG
rnacentral:rRNA from 1 species